rnacentral:rRNA from 1 species
GACGAACGCUGGCGGCGUGCCUAAUACAUGCAAGUUGAGCGCUGAAGGUUGGUACUUGUACCAACUGGAUGAGCAGCGAACGGGUGAGUAACGCGUGGGGAAUCUGCCUUUGAGCGGGGGACAACAUUUGGAAACGAAUGCUAAUACCGCAUAAAAACUUUAAACACAAGUUUUAAGUUUGAAAGAUGCAAUUGCAUCACUCAAAGAUGAUCCCGCGUUGUAUUAGCUAGUUGGUGAGGUAAAGGCUCACCAAUGCGAUGAUACAUAGCCGACCUGAGAGGGUGAUCGGCCACAUUGGGACUGAGACACGGCCCAAACUCCUACGGGAGGCAGCAGUAGGGAAUCUUCGGCAAUGGACGAAAGUCUGACCGAGCAACGCCGCGUGAGUGAAGAAGGUUUUCGGAUCGUAAAACUCUGUUGGUAGAGAAGAACGUUGGUGAGAGUGGAAAGCUCAUCAAGUGACGGUAACUACCCAGAAAGGGACGGCUAACUACGUG